AAGCAUAUCAAUAAGCGGAGGAAAAGAAACUAACAGGAUUCCCCUAGUAACUGCGAGUGAAGCGGGAAGAGCUCAAAUUUUGAAUCUGGCAACCUCUUGGCUGUCCGAGUUGUAAUCUAGAGAAGUGCUACCCGCGCUGGACCGUGUACAAGUCUCCUGGAAUGGAGCGUCAUAGAGGGUGAGAAUCCCGUCUCUGACACGGACUGCCAGGGCUUUGUGGUGUGCUCUCAAAGAGUCGAGUUGUUUGGGAAUGCAGCUCAAAAUGGGUGGUAAAUGCCAUCUAAAGCUAAAUAUAGGCGAGAGACCGAUAGCGAACAAGUACCGUGAGGGAAAGAUGAAAAGAACUUUGGAAAGAGAGUUAAACAGUACGUGAAAUUGCUGAAAGGGAAACGCUUGAAGUCAGUCACGCUGCAGAGGAUCAGCCUUGCUCUUGCCUGGUGUAUUCUUCUGUUUGCGGGUCAGCAUCAGUUUUGGCUGCUGGAUAAAGUUCAUGGAAAUGUGGCACCUUCGGGUGUGUUAUAGUCUGUGGAUGUAUACAGCGGCUGGGACUGAGGUACUCAGCACGCCGAAAGGCCGGGUUUCGACCACGUUCGUGCUUAGGAUGCUGGCAUAAUGGCUUUAAUCGACCCGU
rnacentral:rRNA from 1 species